GCCGACGGCGCCUCUCUCGUCCAUAACAGACGCUGAGGCUGGAAAGGGUGGGGAGCAAACAGGAUUAGAUACCCUGGUCGUCCACGCCGUAAACGAUGAGUGCUAAGUGUAGGAGGGUUUCCGCCCUUCAGUGCUGCAGCUAACGCAUUAAGCACUCCGCCUGGGGAGUACGACCGCAAGGUUGAAACUCAAAGGAAUUGACGGGGGCCCGCACAAGCGGUGGAGCAUGUGGUUUAAUUCGAAGCAACGCGAAGAACCUUACCAGGUCUUGACAUCCUUUGACCACUCUAGAGAUAGAGCUUCCCCUUCGGGGGCAAAGUGACAGGUGGUGCAUGGUUGUCGUCAGCUCGUGUCGUGAGAUGUUGGGUUAAGUCCCGCAACGAGCGCAACCCUUAUUGUUAGUUGCCAUCAUUCAGUUGGGCACUCUAGCAAGACUGCCGGUGACAAACCGGAGGAAGGUGGGGAUGACGUCAAAUCAUCAUGCCCCUUAUGACCUGGGCUACACACGUGCUACAAUGGGAAGUACAACGAGUUGCGAAGUCGCGAGGCUAAGCUAAUCUCUUAAAGCUUCUCUCAGUUCGGAUUGCAGGCUGCAACUCGCCUGCAUGAAGCCGGAAUCGCUAGUAAUCGCGGAUCAGCACGCCGCGGUGAAUACGUUCCCGGGCCUUGUACACACCGCCCGUCACACCACGAGAGUUUGUAACACCCGAAGUCGGUGAGGUAACCUUUUUGGAGCCAGCC
rnacentral:rRNA from 1 species